AGAGACAGCAGUAACACCUUCUGGCUAUAGUCUAUUUUCAUCUUUCUCAUCCUAGUGUUAUCAAGAGAAAAACAGUCUUAGAUGCAACAUAAAAAUUUCAGAGACAGAAGAAAUCUUCCUUUGAGGGCAGUGAUACACUUAUGUGAGAUUUUGAAAAGUGAAAAAUCAAAGGUGGAAUUGACCAGUAGAUGUAAAAGUACAACAAAUAAACAAAAAUGGCAAUGUUGAAAGUGAAACUGAAAUUCAACAGAAAUAAAAGAAAUAGCAGACUGGGGGGAUAUUGACUUUGACACCAUGAUGCCAGAGGAACUUAGUGAUGGCAAACUUAUCAAUAUAAAAUGAGGAUAUUGGUUGUCAACUAGGAUUGAAAUGCUGUUUUUCUUCCCUGGUACAAUGUUAAAGCUUUAAACUCUUGUCAAUGAUGUGAUGUUUCAUCUGCAAUGAUCUACACUAGAAAAAUAAAAAUGUAGUUACUGACAAAAAAGCAGGAACUACUGCUCUAAGGAAAAAAGGACAGCUACAUGAGGACCACACAACUCCUGGAAGAGGUUUCCCUGGCAACACAACUUUUCCAUUCAUCUGGUUGCAGUGUUUUCAUCCAGUAGCCUGUCACCUCACUCAAAAGCAGGGCAAUGGAGAGAAAGAAACUUACCAAGUUUUUUCUUUUAACUAGAGAGUAGCCUACUUAUUGGGCCCUGCAAUUAAUUUCAGUACUCCAGGCAGAUUUAUAAAGGAAGCUGCUGGAAGGAAUUCAUUCCCUUUUUGCUGUUCUGCCUUCCACCUUCCACUGUGUGAGGACACUGCAAGAAAGCCCUCAUCAGACACCAACUGCCAGCACCUAGAUCUUGGAAUUCUCAGCCUCCAGAACUACGUGACUUGCUCUGCCUUGCCUUCCAUCAUGAUUGUGAGGACUCUCCAGCCACAUGCAACUGUCUUUGCCUAUUUAUUUAUAAGGAUUCCAUGCUGCUGCUCCGCCAUGCUUCACACCAAUCAAUAAGAAGUGUUUCCAGCUGUAUCUACGAAAUGUCUCUCCAGAAUCACUGACAAUUCGGUUCACAUCAUAUGGCAAUUAGAUAAUUUUCUGAUGACUUUUAACUUACCUCCUCUCUUUUGACUUCUCCCUACACCAUAUCAGUGUCCAAAGUGUUGCCAAAACCACUUCGAAAAUGCACAUCUGUUUCUGUCUCUCCCUUAUAUUAUGCCUUCAAAUCAUGACUUCUUAAAAUGAUAUAAGGAAUUUUUACAGUUGGGUAAAAAAUUAAGUUGGAGCCUCCUUUAUAAUUGUUCCUGUACAUUUGCCAUCCCUCCAGACUUAAAGAAUAAAUUGAAGAACUUUGUACAGAAUAUUGACUUUCCUGUUGAUGUGCCAUCAUUUAGUACAGGAGAAACAACUCAGUGUAUACCUAUCUGCAAACUUUUCUAAUGAUAAUUUGUGCCUAUAGUCCUAUACUGAUGUGAAGUGUGAAAAAAUAUAUACCAGGAGAAACAAAGGAGAAUGGCACCAUAUAAUUGGUAGAUUUUCAUCCCAUAGUUUAUUUUCGUAUUUGCCUGCAAGGUCUUUUUUCAUACACUAAAUCAAGCCCUGCCUGUUUUGAAAUCAUCAUCGACACCCCUUCAAAGCACAGUUAAGUACACCUUCUCUGGUUUCACAUGACAAUCUGAUUGCACUGGAUUACAGUCAAAACUUUUGUGUCUGUCUGUGCAAUUUCUGAUGUCCUUAAGGGCAGGGACAAUGUUUUUCCCAAUUUUGUAUUGCCAGUGCCUAGCACAAUCCCUGACUUUUUGUAGAUAGAACUUUUUUCCACCAAUUGUAUAAUUUAAUGAAUCACACAUAUAGACUCUAAUGAUUACAUGAAUAUUAUUAAUUGAUACUCAAUGUUUGUGGUCUAAUAUUAUUUUUCUUGAAAUAAAUUAAGAUAUAUUUAAUAUAAUAAAAUUAAAACUACAAAAUAAAACAAACAUUUAUAACUUGAA
ensembl:lncRNA LINC01821 long intergenic non-protein coding RNA 1821